CAGUAGCCGCGGUAAUACAGAGGGUGCGAGCGUUAAUCGGAUUUACUGGGCGUAAAGCGUGCGUAGGCGGCUUUUUAAGCCGGAUGUGAAAUCCCUGAGCUUAACUUAGGAAUUGCAUUCGAUACUGGGAAGCUAGAGUAUGGGAGAGGAUGGUAGAAUUCCAGGUGUAGCGGUGAAAUGCGUAGAGAUCUGGAGGAAUACCGAUGGCGAAGGCAGCCAUCUGGCCUAAUACUGACGCUGAGGUACGAAAGCAUGGGGAGCAAACAGGAUUAGAUACCCGCGUAGUCCCUGUCUCUUAUAC
rnacentral:rRNA from 1 species